rnacentral:hammerhead_ribozyme from 1 species
AUUUAGCUGACGAGUCCCAAAUAGAACGAAACGCGCUUCCAAGAU